CCGCGGGGAGCGCUUUGCCCUGGCGACCUCCCGUGUAUUCCUUCUCCUUGCUUCUCUUUAGGCCACCGCCCGUCUCCGUCAGGCCUUCGCCGACCCCCGGACCCCACAGCGCCUCGCGGAGAUCGUGCUGGGCGCUGCUCGGCCGCAGCUCCGCCAGCUGGCCGCUGUUCUCCUCCGCCGCCGCCUCUCGGGGGGAAGAUGGCGGCGCCUGGAUCCGGAACUCAGGCUGAGGCUCCCAUCGCUAUUGGCUGAAGCCCUGGAGAAGGAAUCGGAGUGAGUCCCCAAUUCCGCUUUUUUCACCCCAAAAAUCGG